rnacentral:rRNA from 1 species
UACAUAGGUCUCAAGCGUUGUUCGGAUUCAUUGGACGUAAAGGGUGCGUAGGCGGCGCGGUAAGUCGGGUGUGAAAUCUCGGAGCUUAACUCCGAAACUGCAUUCGAUACUGCCGUGCUUGAGGACUGGAGAGGAGACUGGAAUUUACGGUGUAGCGGUGAAAUGCGUAGAUAUCGUAAGGAAGACCAGUGGCGAAGGCGGGUCUCUGGACAGUACCUGACGCUGAGGCGCGAAGGUCAGGGGAGCAAACGGG